AUUGAACGCUGGCGGCAGGCUUAACCCAUGCAAGUCGAGCGGGGGAAGGUAGCUUGCUACCGGACCUAGCGGCGGACGGGGGAGUAAUGCUUAGGAAUCUGCCUAUUAGUGGGGGACAACAUCUCGAAAGGGAUGCUAAUACCGCAUACGUCCUACGGGAGAAAGCAGGGGAUCACUUGUGACCUUGCGCUAAUAGAUGAGCCUAAGUCGGGUUAGGUAGUUGGUGGGGUAAGGGCAUACCAAGGCGACGAUCUGUUGCGGGUCUGAGAGGAGUAUCCGCCACACUGGGAAGGAGGCAAGGCCCAGACUCCUACGGGGAGCAGCAGUGGGGAAUAUUGGAAAAUGGGGGGAACCCUUAUCCAGCCAUGCCGCGUGUGUGAAGAAGGCCUUAGGGUUGUAAAGCUCUUUAAGCAAGGAGGAGGCUCUUUUGGUUAAUACCCAUGAUGAGUGGACGUUACUCGCAGAAUAAGCACCGGCUAACUCUGUGCCAGCCGCCGCCGUAA
rnacentral:rRNA from 1 species